AGUGAACGCUGGCGGUAGGCCUAACACAUGCGAGUCGAACGGCAGCACAGUAAGAGCUUGCUCUUACGGGUGGCGAGUGGCGGACGGGUGAGGAAUACAUCGGAAUCUACUUUUUCGUGGGGGAUAACGUAGGGAAACUUACGCUAAUACCGCAUACGACCUACGGGUGAAAGCAGGGGAUCUUCGGACCUUGCGCGAUUGAAUGAGCCGAUGUCGGAUUAGCUAGUUGGCGGGGUAAAGGCCCACCAAGGCGACGAUCCGUAGCUGGUCUGAGAGGAUGAUCAGCCACACUGGAACUGAGACACGGUCCAGACUCCUACGGGAGGCAGCAGUGGGGAAUAUUGGACAAUGGGCGCAAGCCUGAUCCAGCCAUACCGCGUGGGUGAAGAAGGCCUUCGGGUUGUAAAGCCCUUUUGUUGGGAAAGAAAAGCAGCAGGUUAAUACCUCGCUGUUCUGACGGUACCCAAAGAAUAAGCACCGGCUAACUUCGUG
rnacentral:rRNA from 1 species